rnacentral:rRNA from 1 species
GACGAACGCUGGCGGCGUGCUUAACACAUGCAAGUCGAACGGAAAGGCCCUUCGGGGUACUCGAGUGGCGAACGGGUGAGUAACACGUGGGUGAUCUGCCCUGCACUUUGGGAUAAGCCUGGGAAACUGGGUCUAAUACCGAAUAGGACCGCGGCCUUCAUGGGUUGUGGUGGAAAGCUUUUGCGGUGUGGGAUGGGCCCGCGGCCUAUCAGCUUGUUGGUGGGGUAAUGGCCUACCAAGGCGACGACGGGUAGCCGGCCUGAGAGGGUGACCGGCCACACUGGGACUGAGAUACGGCCCAGACUCCUACGGGAGGCAGCAGUGGGGAAUAUUGCACAAUGGGCGCAAGCCUGAUGCAGCGACGCCGCGUGAGGGAUGACGGCCUUCGGGUUGUAAACCUCUUUCAGCUCCGACGAAGCGCAAGUGACGGUAGGAGUAGAAGAAGGACCGGCCAACUACGUGCCAGCCGCCGCCGUAA